AUUGAACGCUGGCGGCAGGCCUAACACAUGCAAGUCGAGCGGAUGAGAGGAGCUUGCUCCUNNAUUCAGCGGCGGACGGGUGAGUAAUGCCUAGGAAUCUGCCUGGUAGUGGGGGACAACGUUUCGAAAGGAACGCUAAUACCGCAUACGUCCUACGGGAGAAAGCAGGGGACCUUCGGGCCUUGCGCUAUCAGAUGAGCCUAGGUCGGAUUAGCUAGUUGGUGAGGUAAUGGCUCACCAAGGCGACGAUCCGUAACUGGUCUGAGAGGAUGAUCAGUCACACUGGAANUGAGACACGGUCCAGNCUCCUACGGGAGGCAGCAGUGGGGAAUAUUGGACAAUGGGNGAAAGCCUGAUCCANCCAUGCCGCGUGUGUGAAGAAGGUCUUCGGAUUGUAAAGCACUUUAAGUUGGGAGGAAGGGCAGUAAAUUAAUACUUUGCUGGANUGACGUUACCGACAGAAUAAGCACCGGC
rnacentral:rRNA from 1 species